GACGAACGCUGGCGGCGUGCUUAACACAUGCAAGUCGAACGGAAAGGCCCUGCUUUUGUGGGGUGCUCGAGUGGCGAAUGGGUGAGUAACACGUGAGUAACCUGCCCUUGACUUUGGGAUAACUUCAGGAAACUGGGGCUAAUACCGGAUAGGAGCUCCGGCUGCAUGGGGGGGGUUGGAAAGUUUCGGCGGUUGGGGAUGGACUCGCGGCUUAUCAGCUUGUUGGUGGGGUAGUGGCUUACCAAGGCUUUGACGGGUAGCCGGCCUGAGAGGGUGACCGGCCACAUUGGGCCUGAGAUACGGCCCAGACUCCUACGGGGGGCAACAGUGGGGACUAUUGCACAAUGGGCGGAAGCCUGAUGCAGCAACGCCGCGUGCGGGAUGACGGCCUUCGGGUUGUAAACCGCUUUCGCCUGUGACGAAGCGUGAGUGACGGUAAUGGGUAAAGAAGCACCGGCUAACUACGU
rnacentral:rRNA from 1 species